CCGGGCGCACGGGUGAGUAACGCGUAUGCGACCUGCCCGUUGCAGGGGGAUAAUCGGGAGAAAUCCCGUCUAAUACCGCGUAACGCCGCGGGGCUACAUGGCCCUGCGGCCAAAGGGAGCGAUUCCGGCAACGGAUGGGCAUGCGUGACAUUAGCUAGUUGGCGGGGCAACGGCCCACCAAGGCGACGAUGUCUAGGGGUUCUGAGAGGAAGGUCCCCCACACUGGUACUGAGACACGGACCAGACUCCUACGGAAGGCAGCAG
rnacentral:rRNA from 1 species